AAGGGAAGUAUCUCUACUUGGUGGUUGCCUGCUUUGGAGUGGUUGGUAAACCCUAAUUCUUGGAAAGGGGUGGCUGCACCCAAAGGACAUAACUUCACCUGAAGCUGUAAGCAAUGAGACCUAAGCUUAGGCAGCAUGGAUGCAACUGAGUAACAAUGAAGCUGCAGGGAUUUUUCAGCAUGAAUGAAAUAAUCUCUCCUGGUGUUCCAUCAGUGGUCUUAUUAAAUAACUUUGAUUUAAAUACUGGUUUAGUGGUAAAUGCAGGCAAAUAUUAUAAUGAAAUUGAGCCUUACACAUAAAUGCAUACUGCGCUCAUUUUGUGUGUCAUGUGAUGUCUGCACUCAACUGUAGUUUUGUAGUAAUGAAGAGCAAUCUGAGUCACUGGACAGGGACAACUGCACAGCAAGUGAGUUUAGGUGUAAAUGUAGGCCUUGAAUUCUUUCUGAAGAGGUUUUACAGUUUUGUGUAAGCUACAUUAGUACUCUCUUUAGAUUGCUUAUUAAUAGCAUCUUGCUGUAAUUUCAUUUUCAAUAUAUUUGAGUUUUCUUGUGUUAAUAGAAGAAAAAGUGUCUUUACAUAAGUUUAUGUAGAUGCUCAAAGAAUAUGUAUUAAUUGAGUGCCAAGAAAGUAAAUAUUACAGCUGAAAACGAAUUUGUAAAAUUUUCAGUGUAGUUGACAAUUGGUAUUGUAUAUAACCAUUGCUUAGGAGGUCGAGGCAAUGUGAUUUGUACUUCUUUUGUCUCUGCUAUAAAAUUUGGAGGAAUAAUAGCAAUGUGUCUGAUGGAAUAUCUAUAGUGAAGUCAUGCUACAAGCUAUGUAAGGCAGUAAGAGACACAUGUCAAUUUAAAAUAGAAUAGUGAGUAAUCACUUAGCUUACUUCUUUCCAAGAUUGUAUGGAUAUGUAAUGAAGAUUCAUCUUUUUGAAACAACUAUUUGUCUUCAGGAAAAUGUGUCUCUUAUGUGCUUAAAGAGAGAUUUACUCUGUAAUGCAUGAAAGCUAGAUGCACAAAUGAAAUAUUUGUUUAGAAACUCUUAUGGUAAUUGCAGAGAUUCUACCUAAUACUUUUAAAAGGAGUAAAUAUGACAAAGAUUUUACACAGGUGAUGGUUUAAAGGACACAUAACAUAGGCUCCAACUGCGUUUGUAAUAGUUCCGUUCUGUAUGUGAAAUAUGUUCUCUACUUAAGAAAAGAAUGAGAAUAUGAAAUAUGUUGUGUCUCAGUGAUUCUUUGGAUUUUCAUUCUGUUGAUC